GAUUCAAAUAGUCUUUAUUAUAUUUAAUUUUGCCAACAUCGUAUGAAUGAAUACAUGUAAUACUGUACAGAGUAUUAUAACGAAAUUUUUUUUUCUAAUUGUUCUUCUGAAUUUCUACAUGGUACCAGAGCACUAAAUUUUUUGCCUAGAUUUUCAUAAUUUCCUCAUCUGCUUCCUUUUCUCGUUCAAGAUAUGGCCAAGGAUUCGACUAUCAUUACAACCAGCACUUCCAACUUUGAUUUCAACAGACCUUAUCACCUUCAUGCCUCUGAUGCUUCUGAUAUGACCUUAUUUAUGAAUAACCCUUUUAAUGGGAAAGGUUAACAGGAGUUGAGGAGGUCUAUUCUUAUUGCUUUGUCAGCAAAGAAUAAAGUUAGAUUCAAUACAGGAUCACAAGUUGAACCUUCUGCUGAAUCUUCAGAUCUGCAAGCUUGGAGCAGAUGCACGACAUGGUGACAUCUUGGCCCUUGAAUUCAUUGUCUUCUAAAGACAUCAAGCAUAAUGUCAUUUACUCCAGGACUGCCAAACAGCUACGGAAUAGUUUAGAGCGUCAUUUUGGACCGUCCAGUAGAGCACAACCUUAUCAGCUGCAGAAGGAAUUAAGCAGUUCAAUUCAGGGUUCAAAUGACAUUAUUGGAUACUUCACUAAGCUCAAAGGGUAGUAGGAUGAGUUAGAUUCUCUUAAUUUUAACAUCAAGUGCACUUGUGUUUGCACCUAUCAAGGUAAGCAUAAGCUGGAAAAAUACUUGAAAGGUGAAAGACUGAUGCAGUUUCUUAUGGGUCUAAGUGAUACAUAUGCACAAGAUAGAGGUGACAUUUAGAUGAUAAACUCCUUACCAAAUCUCAAUCAUGCAUAUUCUUUGAUCCUAUCAGAUGAAAAUCAAAGAAAAUCGUACAUGAGUUCGUUCUAUUAUUUCUUCUGACUCUUCUUUCAUGACUGGGAACUUGAGUCAAUAUCGAGGUACAAGAUAGUAACCACACAAAUUUGUAGGAAACCCACAGAGACCAAGGAAUGCUUAUCCCAGAUCUGUCAAUCCCAAACCACAAAGGUUUUAAAAAUAGAAUCCAAAAUAGAAAAUAAGAACGGCAAAAUACAAUUCUAAUGUCACAUGUACUAAUUAUGGCAUAAUGGAUCAUGUUGAAGAUGACUGUUACAGAAUCUAAGUUUUCUUGAGAAUUUUCAAUUUACAUAUGAUGAGGGAUUUCAAGGUCAAAUCAAAGAAAAUGAAGUAUUAUCAACAAUGAAAGAUGAUACUAGGAGUAAUAACAAUUUUGUUGAAGCAAAAGCUUAUGUCCAUCAAAAUGCAAGACAACAGAACCCUGGUCAACAAUAUAACAAGGAACAAUACAAUCAAUUUCUGUAAAUAUUUAAAUAGAUGAGGAUGGAGAAAGUAGCUAGUACAAGCGGAGCACAUGAGAGAUCAAUGCAAAUUCAGCAGCUGGUACAAUUUUAAAAUACUUUAGAUUGUAGUUUUCAUCUAUAAAUUCUAGCAACUGGAUCAUUGAUUUAGGUGCAUUGAUCAUAUGUGUUUUAAUUCAACCUCUUUCACCUCUAUGUCCCUUUUUCAAGUUUCUUUGACUAUUAAUAUGCCUAAUUGUCAUAUUAUUCAGGUCACUCAUGUAGGGCCAGUCUUACUAUUUUCUGACCUUAUUUUAGAAGAUGUCUUAUUUGUUUCUAGUUUAGAAUUUAACCUCAUGUUUGUGCAUAAAUUCAUCAGUUUGUCGGUACUUUAUUUUUCACAUAAGUUGGAUGUCUAAUGCGGGGUCCUUCAAUAAGGAGGCCACAAGUUUUUGGUGAAGCAAAGGAAGGUCUAUAUUUGAUCCAGCCAAACACUAGGAAGUCUAGUUUCAGUUUUAGCAAGGAUUUAUCACUUAUUCCUAGUGAAUCAAGUCCUAUUUCUUUUCCUGUUUCAAGUUCUGUUUCUAGUUCUACUUGUGGUAAUUCAAUUUCUAAUGUAAAACUUUGGCACAUUAGAUUGGGGCAUUUACCCUUUUCAUCAAUGAAAAAUGUUAGUUUUAUUUUUGUUCCGUCUAAUUCAAAAUGUGUGUGAUGUAUGUCCUAAAUCAAGGCAAUUCAAACUUCCUUUUCCUAUUAGUCAAGUCAGAACUAAAUGUAUCUUUGAUCUUAUUCACAUUAAUACAUGAAAAUCUUAUAAAGUUUUCAUAUAUAACAACUAUAGAUACUUCCUUACCAUAGUGGAUGAUUGCAGUAGAGGUACUUGGACCUAUUUACUGACCACUAAGAAUAACGCAUUUUCAAUUUUACAAUGUUUUCUACAGAUGGUAGAAAGACAGUUUAGUACCAAAGUCGAGAUUAUAAGUUCAGAUAAUGCACUAGAACUAAGUAAAAGUAUAACUGUCACAAAUUUUUUUAAUUCAGAAGGAAUUAUCCAUCAAACUGCAUGUGUAGCUACCCCUCAAAAAAAUGGUAUAGUUGAGAGAAAGCACAAACGCCUACUUGAGAUUACAAGGGCUUUGUUAUUGCAAUUUCAGGUACUUUUAGUUUGUUGGGGAGAAUGCAUUCUCACUGCCACUUAUCUGAUUAACAGAUUACCAUCCAGAGUUUUACAUGAACAAACUCCAUAUGAUGUGCUUUUUGGGAUGUCCCCUUCCAAUCAAUAUUUUAAAUGCUUUAGGUUAUUAUUUUAUGCAAGUACCUUAGCUCAUGAUAGAGGUAGAUUUCUUCCAAGAGCUAAAGCUUGUGUCUUCCUGGGAUACCCUAAUAACCAGAAGGGUUAUAAACUUUAAGACCUUGAGAGUAAAACGAUGUUUGUCUCAAGGAACGUAGUCUUUCGUGAAAUAUUUUUCCUUUAAUCACAAACCUUAAUUCUUUUUCACCUAUUUUUUCUAUCCAAACUUUUGAUACACAGAUGUUGAGGGUUUUUUUCUCCUCAACAAAUCAAGAUUUGAACUCUAGUCCCAUUGACCCUACCUUGCCUUCAUCUAUUUCUCCUUCUCUUUCUAUUGAACCAACGUUAUCUUCUCAUAUUAACUCUUCACUACCCAUUAUUUCUUCACCUAUAGAACAUUCAACUAAAAUUCCUCCUCCUAAAAGGUCUAAGAAUAAACAAAGGUGGUCUGCCAACACACCUUAAGGACUAUUUUUGCAACACCAUUUUUCUUAGUCCAGCCAUUGAUUUAUGCUUUGCUGCACCACCAAUACAUCCUACUACAUUGUCCUUUACUGAUUUCUUUCCUUUCUAAUCAGCUCAAACUAAAAUCAGUUUUAGAAAUCUCAGAACCUAACAGCUAUUUUCGGGCUUCCACCCAUUCAGGAUGAAACAAGGCUAUGAAAGAGAAAAUUACAGUCUUAAAAUCAAAUCAUGCAUGAGAUGUACUGCAACUUUCUAAGGGAAGGAAGGCACUCCUUUGUAAGUGGUAUACAAAGUUAAACAUAAUGUAGAUGAUACUAUAGAAAGGUAAGGCUUGUCAUAAGGGGUGAUAUUCAAAAGAAGAAAAUCNNNN
rnacentral:lncRNA from 1 species